rnacentral:misc_RNA from 1 species
UCGAAACAUCUGGUUUUCUGCUUAAACAAAAGUUAAUGCGAAACGGAUGUCAACAUAAAUUUCGGUGGGAAAGGCUGCAAAAUUUAAUUACGUAAUAAUAUUACUAAUGUUGAAGCUGAGAAAUGAUUAGCAAAUGGAAUGUUGUGUUAGCAAGUUUCUUUUUAUUACACUAUUCCUAUGCUGACGUUCCUCUUGGAAAUGUAAAAUUGACUUACGAACAGUUAUUCAAAAUUGGUGUUGAUGCAUACCUUGAAAACCGGUGGACUGACUGUGUAACCUUAUUUGAAAAAGCUCUUGAAGAAUAUUUCUACUAUAAUAGUGUUAUUUUAAAAUGUAGAAAAAAAUGUCACGAAGAAAGAUCUAACGUUUUUUACAAUGUAACUGAAAGUUCAUCUGAUCUAUGGCGUUUGCAAGCUAAAGUAACAGAUAUUGCUUUGUGUUUAAUGACUUGUCAUAAGUUUUACUUCCUGAAUCGCCCUAAAACGUCUAAAGAAAUAGAUGAUAACUUUGAAAAAAAAUUGCCUUACAAUUACUUACAGUUAUGCUAUUUUAAGAUAGAGGAACCUGAAAAAGCAGCAUCAUGUGCCUAUACUUUUUUGAUCCAUAACCCUCAUCAUGAAGUAAUGCAAACUAAUCUUCAGUAUUAUAUGGGUUUGCCUGAUUUAAAAGAAGAUCGAAUUAUUUACCUGGAGCCAAAGUCUUAUCAGGAUCUCUUUUUGAAAGGUGCACAACUUUAUACUGAUGGUAAAUAUGCUGAUUCUAUUGAAGUUAUGGAACUUUCUCUUAAAGAAUAUCUCUUAGCUGAAGAAGAUUGUCGCAUGCAGUGUGAAAAACCCAUGAUGGAAUUAUCAAGUGAAGAAUUGUACAUAUCAUUAUCGAAUCAGUUUACUUAUAGCUUACGCUGUAAAUUACAUUGUCCUGAGAAAAUGGCAUAUAUGUAUGGACAAAAACUUGAAGAUUUAUUUGCUAGUCAUUAUCACUAUUUACAAUUCAGUUAUCAUAAAACAAACAAACAAAAAGAGGCUUGUUCAGCUGUGGCAUCCUAUCUUCUUUUACACCCAGAAGACGACACAAUGAUUUCUAAUAAAGAAUAUUAUUCAAAAUUGCCUGGCGUAUCUGAAGAGUGGUUUCACCCUAGAAAAGAAGCCAUACAAUUUCAUGAACAAAGUACAAGGGAAAAAGAUCUGCUAAAAGCUAUUGAAAAGGCUUUUCAGUUUGACGGCAGUACAUCUCAGGAAGCAUCCCAGAUUUUAACUCCACCUCCUAAAUCAUCUUCCCCUGCAGUGUCCAGUUUCAACAAACCUUUAUUGGGUAAAGCAACAGAAAAAUUAUCACAAUCUGAAAUUAAUCAUUGGCUGAAGGAAUCAAAAAUUUCACCUUUCAUGAAUGAGAAAGAUCUUAAAGGAACUAACAGAGUCGCUUUCUCAGGAUUUGCCACACAGAAAGAGUGCCAGCAGUUAAUGGAUUUGGCUAUGGAUGGUGGAGUGUAUGGUGAUGGUUAUAAUGGAAAACAGUCUCCUCAUACAGAAUUUGAAAUGUUUGAAGGUUUGACAGUGACAAGAGCAGCAACACUAGCUAAUAGAGGUGUUUUAAAUCCAGAAGCUGCUGAGUUGUACUUAAAUAUAAGUGAAAAAGCUCGUCUUGCAGUUGAAAAGUAUUUUAAAUUGGAAUCUGAGCUAUUUUUUGCAUAUACUCAUCUUGUUUGCAGAACUGCUUUACCUGACUCUCCUGAGUCCAGGGAUGAUCUGAGUCAUCCUAUCCAUGCUGAUAAUUGUGUUUUGAUGCCAAAUGGCAAUUGCCUCAAAGAUAAACCUGCCUACACAUGGAGAGACUACAGCAUACAACUCAAUUGUUUAUCUAAAUGAUGACUUUGAAGGGGGUGAGUUUGUUUUUGCUAAAGACAAGAAAACUAUACAGGCUGUACUUAAACCCAAAUGUGGCUUGAUGGUUGGGUUUUCUGCUGGUGCUGAAAACCUACAUGGUGUAAAAGCUGUUAAGAAAGGAAAGAGGUGUGCGCUGGCUAUGUGGUACACUCUUGAUGCAAACCA